AUACCCAUGCACCGUUUAUCUGAAGAUAUCUUUUUCAUGAACCAGAAUAGCCAGAAAUAAUAUAGCGCAAGUAACUCUGUUACGAAAAAGGUACAGUCUUGCAAUUUGAACCUCUCCUAACAGCGACAAAUGAUGAUGAUCAGUUUAAGGAUGCGGCGUACCCUGGCUGUAGCUGUGAUAAUUCCGUUGCUGACUCUUCCGGCGUCGUCAACGAGUACCACAACGUCAGAUUCUACGACUGAGGCAUCGCUGAUGCAGCCCCUAGACAUUUCCCGUGCGGAGACUGUAGCCUUGCCCGAGGAUACCAGUGAAGUGACGGACCUUGGUGCUGUCACCUGCUUCCAUAGAUCUGCAAGUUCUGCAGUGGACAUCAGGUGUCCGACGUGAUCCAUCUUGUCUGUUAAUCCUAGCUUCGCUGGAUUUACAUUGUUGAAGAUGCUUGGGAAUCUUGAUUUUCACUUGUACUACGUGCCCAGUAUUGCUGCCCUCAGCUACGCCACAACGCCGUGGUACAAGGUCACGGUGACCUGCAGUGGUCAGAAUCAGAUCACAGGGACAAGGACUAUAAAAGUAGCCAUUCAUGUAGCAGAAACCGUUAUGAUGCCAACGACACUGCAGCCCGAACUACCAUAAACCAUAUAUAUUCAAAUUCACACUUUUAUUUCCUUUUUAAAUUUACUUACGCAUUACAUCAAAGCUAUUACUACCAAUUCGCAGAUGUAUUUACCAAACACAUAAGCUAUAGCUGUUCAUUAUAGCCUUGGUUUAGUGAUCAUAUGUUUAUUAUGUCUUGGAUAGGUCAGAAAAUCGAUGAAGUAAGCCCCGGUUUGUAGCUCUAAGGCCAUACUGUGCAUGUACAUGUAAAAGCUUGAAACGCCCUGGUUACUUUU